rnacentral:lncRNA from 1 species
GCUAAGCGUUACUAUGAUCAAGCCAAAGUUGCUAACUUGGUGGGGAACAAGGAGUGUGAGGCGCUUGGGAUGACAUCCAUCCCUUCUCCCUUCGGCCCAAUUAUCUAGAUGUUUGGCAUUUUACUUAGUUCUAUGUUAUUUCACUUGGAAAAUAUAUGCUACAUGUUUAGGACUGGACUUCCAGCAUGUUCUCUAUUGUGGUUUAAUCUAUAACUGUUUUAGAUGUGAAAAACAGUUUGGAGACCUGAUGAGCUUUUCUGUAUUGUUUCAAGAUGUUUAUGAGGUAUACAAGUGGAAUUUUUCUUUUAUAUCUUUUGAUAUUUAGUAUAUUCAGAAAAAUUAAUUAAUAAAAAAUAUUUUUAUUUAAAAAAAAUUAAGUUAUAUUAAAAGUUAAUUUUUUUAUAUUUUGAGAAUACAUUUAUGUAUAAAUUUAUUAAUAUAAUUUAUUUUUUAAAUUGAAAUUAAAUUAUAAAAAAUAAAUUAUUUUAUUAAAAAUAUUUUUUGAAAGAUAUUGUCUAAAAAAGAUUCUCUAUGAAGCAUAUUUUUCAAAGACAAAUUCUUUUAUACAAAUAAAUGAAAUUUUAGUAAAAGAAUAUUAUUUUUCAUUUUAGAUUUUUUUUUAUUUUUUUAAUUAUCUCAAUAUUAUUAUUCAUUUCUAUUUUUUUAUACUAUAAUAAUAUAUAUAAAUUAAUUAUUAUAAUCUAUUUAAUUCAAUUUUAUUUUAAAAAUAAUCUCUCUAAUUAUUAUUUUUUAAAUGAAUAUUUAUUUAAUAAAAUUUAAUGCAUUUAUAAUAGAUAUAAUUAAAAAAUUAAUUAAAAAAAUUGUUUUUUUAAUCCGCAUGAAAAAAGUAAAAUGCACAUAAAAAAAUAUAUCAGCGACAAAGUUUGCCAUGUAUUUAGUUUCCGUUGGAAAUUUAGGGACGGAAAAAGAGACGGAUUUGCGACGAACAAUGCAUUUCCGAAAUUUCCGACAGAUUUGUAAUGUAUUACGAAGGAUUAAGUGAGUAAUAACGACGGAAAAAAUACCGUCGCUAAUGCAUCGGAAACUUUAAAAUUCCCUUGAAAAAGCCCUAAACAUCUCUUUCUCACUUUUUCAUUUUCAGCCGCUAGCCCUUUUUUCCCUUCCCCCACGCAAGUCGCUGACUGAAGCAUCUCCCCCGCCCGCCGGUGACGUCGAUUCCGCUCUGACCGAAGACAACUACGAUAUUAUCGAUGAUACAGAUCUUCAGCAGUAACUUUCAGACGUGCUUUAGCAGCGAAGGUGUCACCAUUGCAGCAACCCUUUGUGCGUCACCACCUUGAGCCACAGCACGCUGCCGCCAUUUCUCCUCUUACUGUUGCCACCGUGGUGUACCCUGAGCCACGAUUUGAGCAUCAGCUCAGACAGAGAGAUACCCCUUUGCUCAAAUGAACACAGAUGUUGGAGUGUAUUAUACCCCAGCGUGUAGAUUCAGAUGAGGUGUUUGAUGGUGCUGAGGCAGUUUGUAGAAUGGAGGACUGGUUGAUUGAGAAUCAUGGCUUCCAGCCGCAGUAUGCAGUUUCUGAGCUGAGCAAGAAGAAUUCCUAGAGAAUGUUUGAUGCUAGACUGUAUGAGCAGUGCAAGAGGAGAUAUGGAGCUGUUAGAACCUUCAUGAGUACCUAGCGAGUCCAAGAAGGGAAGUAAGACUAAGAAGGAGGUUCAAGAAGCUGAGCAAGCCCACCUUGAAACUGCUUAUGUAGAGGGUGAUUAACCAAUGGAUUCAGCUUGAGGUGAAUUUGGUAUGAUUUAGUGGGAUUUCGUUUGCUGCUUGUUUUUAUUUUCAGACUAUCCUUGUGAGUUUUUAAUUAGUAUUUCUAGCUGAAUGCUUUAGUUGCUGCUUUAUUUUCUUAUCUUGGAUUUUAACGAAUUAGAUAAGACUUCGGAUGAUUUUAGUGUUUUAAACAGUUUAUGGACAAGAAGGAUUUGGGGCAAAGGCUCUUCUUAGCCUGGACUGGAUGUUAUUUACUUGCACAAUCUUUACUAAGCCAUUAUGCUCGAGGUGGUUUACUGGUGAUUUUCAAGUAUUUUCUUCACUUUAGUUGGUUCUUAGAGUUUACAUGUGGAGGACAGCCUUGUUGCUGUCUUAUGGAAGUAUUGUGUGCCUGCUCUAUAAUCAACAGAUUCCCACAUGUUGCUGGUGAAUUAUUUGGUCUGCUUAUUGCAAUGCUCUUUAUGCAAUAGGCCAUAAGGGUGAGCACUCACAUCAACUCAAUUUAACUAGGCAUUAACAUAGAUCCAUUUCAAUUAUGAGAGUUCAAAUUUGUUUGAAUAGUUGUAAAAAUGAAAUUCCAUGGUAGUUUGUUUUCUUCAGUAUUCUGAAGGCAAUAUUAGAUUCAAUAUAUCAUGAUUUCUUUUUCUAAAGCACCUUGAUAAAAGCAGAAUAUCAAUUGAAAUGGCCUUUUUGCCAUAUAAUCCUAUAGGGAUUUGUGAUGGAGUUUGGCAGGGAAAAAUCCUAAUCAGACUGCACUCCAACCUUCUUGGUGACUUGGCAGUGGAAUGUUUGCAUUGGUUCUAUCCUUUGGCCUUAUUGGACUGCACUUAGGAGCCGUAAAGCUAGGUCCUGGUGUUAUGGGACAUUGCAUUGGAAUUCCUAUAUGGAUUAUUUAAAUAAAGAAAAAUACAUCUUAUGGGUUGAGUUCUAUAACGGUAUCAUCCUUGAUUAUGCAAUUUUGAUUUUGUGGUUCACUUGCAUUUUAUUUUAUAGAGUCAAGUAAUCACCUUUAUUUGGUUUUCAAGUCUAUAGAAAAACUUCACAAUCAGCUAUAUAGUUUAUUGGCUCUUUCAUAAUGCUUCUUUUUAUUUUUCAUGUUUUUUCAAGGUUGGCUACGAGGAUUUAUUGCAGAUUAUGGAGUUCCAGUUAUGGUGCUUGCAUGGAUUGCGAGAUCCUAUAUAACAGUUAAAGCAUGUUCCAAGAGGUAUAGUCCGGAUGUGUCUUCUCACCCCGUUUCAAUGAUUUUCACCCUUUGAUCCCAAAUGAAUGGCUGAUCAUCUAAUGAGAAAUUCAUGGAGUUUUAGUUAUAAGAAUACUUGUAUUUUAAAAAUUAAAUCAUUAAGUGUUUUGAUUUUGCUUUUUUUUUUUAAAAAAAAAAGAAGUUAAAUUGCCAUUUAAUUAUUAAAUAUUGUAAUUAUUUAAUUACUUUUACUUAUUUCUCCCUUAAGAGAUGAAUGGUUGAUGCACAGUAGAAGAAUUGAUUCAAACGAGGUAAAUGAAUGAACAUCUAAAUACUGUGUCUUGUCUGCUUGUGAUUCAUUCAAAAAGUUGUACUUGUGAUUAAUUACUAAUUCUAAAACCAAGUAAUUUUGAAGUUGUUAGGCUAUGUGGUCUAAGAAUAAAAUAUGAGUACAAUCUAGUUAUCUAUGCUUGGCUCAUUUAUUGAACAGACCAUGAUUAACCUAGAUUCAUGUAUGGUAAUACUCAAAUCUGAUCUUGUAUUGCCUGUGUUUUAACUUUUCUAUAAUUCAUCAAGAAGAUAAGAACUCUAAAUACAUGGGUCAUGAAAAAUGAUGGUUAAGUAUAACAUCUAAAAAUCAUAUUUCUUGUAAAUCAUAUUUAGUUGUUAAUAUUUAAUCGUUAAAAAUCAUAUUUGUUGGAGUGAUAGAAAUUGUUAAAUCGAUGUUGAUUGAGUGUAAUAUUUAUUAAAUAUAUGGUAUUGUUAAUAUGAAAUGAAUAGUUAUUUGUAUUCUAAUAUAUAAUAUUUAUGUUAUUAUUAAUUGUAUAUAGUUAAUGAAAUAUCUAUUAUUUUUUUAUAUAGGAAGUUUAUUGUUGAAGAUAAAUCUGAAAGUUCAUUCCCUUUUGAUGUGCAGAAGUGGAUUGAAAUUUCUGUUAAGCAAUAAAGAGAGGAGGUGUAUGAUUUUGUCACUAAUUUUUUCGAUGGAAGUAAUAACAACAAAUUUUAGACUACAGCGAUAGCGAUGAAAUUUUCCGCCGCUGAUAAGUUAUUUUUAAUGAAAAUUAUAAGAUGGGAGGAAUAUAAUAGAAUAAGAAUUAAAUGAUUUGAUGAUUGUAUUUUGAACUUUUUUAUAUUUAUUUUAAAGACUUAAGUGAUAUCUCAACUAUUUAAAUUAAUUUAGAAAAAAAUAAAAUAAAAUAAAAUUAUUUAAUAAAUUAAAUUAAAAGUCAAUUUAAUACUUGAUCAUAUUGAUUUAAAUUGAAUUCUACUCAACCUUAAAAGUAAAAAGAAAAAAAAAUAUGGAACAUUCGUGGUUGUUAUCAAUACUUUUUGUUAUUAUUGUAAUUAGAAAAAAAAAAGAACUUUUCUCUGAAGUUUGCAAAUCUAGGGGCUCAUCUUUCUUCCUUGUCACUUAUUGCAGACUUUCCCGUUCAAUCCAAUCAUUGGUUAUAUAUAUAUUUGAUAUUGACUUCUUGGUACUCUAUUGUUGAUUGAUUUUCAUUAUGAGAAUUCUUAGAUUUAUGUUAUUUUUGGAUUGUGGUUGGUUGUAUGCAGGUUCUCUAUUUACUAUAGAAGUUUCUUCAAUCUGCAACAAUGUACUUUUUUUUCAUUUUUCAAUCCCCUGAAAGAAAUAAAAACAAUUAUUAGUGACGACAAUAAAUAUUAAAUGAGACUUUAUAAAUCAAAUUUUAAUAAUGUUUUAAUGUAUUUUUUAAAAUUAAAUAAUCAAUUGAUAAAUUUUUUCAUAAUAUAUAGAAAUUAAAUAGUAAAUUAGCCGUUUAAGGACAUUCUUAAAAUUUGACGAGCAGUGGUGCCUCUUGUGAGCUCCACCAUCCUGUUAUAUCUGCGUUGCUUCUCUUGACCACUGUGUGCCAGGCUCAACUCACCUCUGCAUUCCAACGACAAUUCUCAUUCAAAUGCCUCAGUACUAUCCAAACUUCCAUCAGAAGUUCAAUUGCAGCAAAACAGAGAAUGGCAACAUCUCUUAUUCCCAUGCACUUUCAUGAUUUUUUUCUGUUUAUAUACUAUAUUUAUAUUUGCUCUAGUUCAUAUCUCUUACCAUAUAUAAUCAAACAAAUUAUUAAAUACUCCUGAUGAUCCGAUGUAUCAUCUCAUACUUGUUAGGACUUAAACCGACAUUUUGCCUUUGUUUUUUUUAUUUUUUGGAGUAAAACCUGUUUUUUUUAAGUAUAUAUAAUAUUAUAGAGAAGGUAAUGAAACAAAAUUGUAGCGUGUCAAGGAAUCAUUGGCCCAAUGACGGAAAUUGACGUGGCAGUGGAAACAUAUACAAAUUAAAUAUGAAAAUCCCGUAAUUACCCCUCCUUCGAACAGACAUCAAAAUCACAGUGCAGGCGCUUAUCUGUGAUCCUUUCUCCUUCAACCGCGGCAGCAAGAUGCGUCGUUUAACGAGUUACAGACUCGCUCUCUCCCUCCUCAUCCUCUCUCUCCUCCCUCUCUCUCUCCUCGCUCGGCCUUUCGUUCUCGUUCUCUCCCAAGAUGAUAUCAGAGAUGGUUCCACCCCCGGCGACUCCGACGCCGAUUCAACUUCCGAAUCUCCGCCGGAAUGGGACGAAUUCGGUGACUCUGAUUCAAAGCCGGAGCACGAGCUCGACCCUGGAUCCUGGCGCCCAAUCUUUGAGCCUGAUUCCUCUGCUCCUGAUACCACGGAGGACUCGAUGUUGGCGGAGUAUUACUCCGUUGUUCAGAAGAUGAUGUGGGCGGUGAGCGGCGGGGAGGUGAGGAUGAUGGAGGAGGCUGCGGCGGAGAUUGAGGCGGCAGCUGUGGUUGGGAAUCCACAUGCGCAAUCAGUGUUGGGAUUUCUGUCCGGGCUAGGGCAGAUGAAGGAGAGGAAUAAAGCUAAGGCGUUUCUUUAUCAUCAUUUUGCGGCUGAAGGAGGUAACAUGCAGUCGAAGAUGGCUCUGGCAUACACUUAUUCGCGCCAAGAUGUGAGUUCACAUUUUUCCGAAUGUUUUUAUUGAAUUCCUUGGACAAUUAUAUCAGAAUUUUGAUUAGUUCUUUCAGUUGCCUCUCUGAUAUGUAAAUACAAUAGAGGGAGUAAUUCAAUUAGGUCUGAUAGUGCCAAAACUUAAUUGAGCUUAGUUUUUCAUGUUGUCAAUCUUUUUUUCUGUUCCUAUAGUUUGAUGAUUGAUUUGCUUUUUUUUUUUUUUUUUUAUUAUCAGAUGUAUGAUAAAGCAGUUAAAUUAUAUGCGGAGUUAGCUGAAGUAGCUGUGAACAGCUUUUUGAUCUCAAAGGAUUCACCUGUGAUUGAACCGGUUAGAAUUCACAAUGGAGCUGAGGAGAACAAGGAGGCUCUGAGGAAGUCGCGAGGGGAGGAAGAUGAAGACUUCCAGAUUUUGGAAUAUCAGGCCCAAAAGGGCAAUGCUGGAGCUAUGUACAAAAUUGGACUGUUUUACUACUUUGGAUUAAGAGGACUGAGGCGCGAUCAUGCAAAGGCAUUAUCAUGGUUCUCUAAGGCUGUAAAGAAGGGGGAACCCAGGUCAAUGGAACUCCUUGGUGAGAUAUAUGCAAGAGGAGCCGGAGUUGAAAGGAACUACACUAAAGCGCUUGAGUGGCUUACACUUGCAUCAAAGCAGCAACUUUACUCAGCUUAUAAUGGCAUGGGGUAUUUGUAUGUGAAAGGUUAUGGAGUGGAAAAGAAGAACUAUACCAAAGUAAGCUCAUUUUUAUUUUGAGCAGAUAUAUAACUCAAGCUUUACUUGUUUUUGGUUGUAGAAUCAAACACAAUAGCACUUUAAGCAGUUAAUUGACGUUUCAGUGGUCUUCCUGAAAAUUCGUGUAUUAUUCUUAAUGACAGUGGAGAAAUUGGAGGAUCCCCUUGGAUAUAUUUUGCAAGGGAGAAAAGAAAUUCAUCAACUAUCUUUAACGGUUCUUGUCAAAUUUUAUCAUUUGCCUCACAUCUCCUGUCUUUCAACUUUCAGCUGAUUAUGUUGCAAUUAUAUCAUUCCUUCAUGAUGCUUGAUAAUACUUCUGGCAUAGAUGCAUUGUAUGGAUGCAUUCUUAUAUAAAUGAGAUAAAGCCUGAGUGAGUUGUCUAAAGUAUUUUAUCAUUGCCUUUAUGCUAUCUCAUUGUGAGCUUAUUAAAGCUAGGUAAUAUAUGGAUAUCAUUUGGGUUAUAAUGUUAUAUACUGGCCUUUUCUUUUUUAAUCCCUAAUUUCUGACUAACUUGUCACAAAUCAAUUCCUUCCAUUGCAGGCAAAAGAAUACUUUGAGAAAGCUGCUGACAAUGAAGAGGCUGGUGGACAUUACAAUCUUGGAGUAAUGUAUCUUAAAGGAAUUGGGGUAAAGAGAGAUGUGAAGCUGGCGUGUAAAUAUUUUAUAGUGGCUGCUAAUGCAGGUCAACCUAAGGCAUUUUACCAGCUUGCAAAGAUGUUCCAUACGGGUGUAGGACUUAAGAAGGAUCUAGUUAUGGUAAAUCCAGUUGUUUUUUUUUUCAUAAUUUAUAUCCUUGUGACCAAUAAAUGCACUUAUGAAAGUUUGACCUCAUUAAACUGGUAGGAGAUUGUUGCCUCUGUGAACAGUACUGAAGGUACUGAGCUGCAGAGCAAUGGGUAGUAGCUGCAUGAGGAAAUAAGUAGAAGGGAGAGGGGAGGGAGAAGCCCCAAGAAUUCCAAAUCAAUUAUAUAUAUAUAUGUGCAAAAAUCUUGUCACUGCUAUUCAAAUAAGAGGACUGCGUACUUUUAAGCUGAUAUUUGAUGGAUAAUUAGAAUAUUGGAUAUGAUAGUCUUGGGAUGGAUUCUGUCUUGGUGUGUGAAUAUUGGACAUGUAUAUUGAAUUUCUGAAAAUUGUAUUUAGUUUUCUGGUCAGUUUUUGGAUACAUUUGAGUUUGAUUCUUGCUGGUCAGAUCCUAAAUAUCUGGUAGUUCUGCAUCAUAUAUAUUGGCUGUAUUAUCUAGGUAAGUAGCUGUGUAUGAUUUUCAGGCACCUUGUAAUAUGGUGAUACUAUUAACUGUCCUUCAACUGAUCCUCUGCUACACGUAGGAUAAGUUCUCUUUGACUUUGAUUUCUCCACAAAUAUGAGUUCCAACUGCCAAAUACAACUGGCCAAGCAUACCAUUGAUUUUCAAUUCUUAAGCUCUUUGGCAUGUCUAAGCAUUCAUUUUGGAACCUAAUGAUGUAAAAGAAAACAUGCAUGUGUGCCCAUCCUGAGGUGACCUGAAGUAAAAAAUUGGACUAGCUAAAUUAAUUAUGUUUUUAUUUUUUAAGAAUGUAUGCUACGGAAAAUGUUGUAGGUGGUAUUAGUAUGUAUGAGUCAUCCAUGUACAUCUAAUCUCUUCUUCAUUCCAGGCUACUGCAUUAUAUAAACUGGUUGCAGAACGGGGUCCAUGGAGUACCUUGUCCAGAUGGGCAUUGGAAUCUUACCUAAAGGGUGAUGUAGGCAAGGCAUUGCUACUGUAUUCAAGGAUGGCUGAACUGGGCUACGAGAUUGCCCAGAGUAAUGCUGCAUGGAUUCUUGAUAAAUUUGGGGAGCGCAGCAUGUGCAUGGGAGAGUCUGGAUUUUGCACAGAUGCAGAAAGGCAUCAGCGGGCACAUUCUUUUUGGUGGCAAGCUUCUGAGCAGGGUAAUGAACAUGCUGCUUUGCUGAUUGGUGAUGCAUAUUAUUAUGGUCGGGUACGUUUCUCUAGUUCCUGACUUUUUGCUAUUUUAGGAUAUUAUCAAAUUUGAAUGAUUGAAUCAUCCACUUCUUCUAAUUUUUAGGUUCUCUUUUUUGUUUUCUUUUUCCUCUCAGGGUACAGAGAGGGACUAUGAACGAGCUGCUGAGGCUUACAUGCAUGCCAAAUCUCAAUCUAAUGCACAAGCCAUGUUCAACCUUGGAUACAUGCAUGAGCAUGGUCAAGGACUUCCAUUUGAUCUCCAUCUUGCUAAGCGUUAUUAUGAUCAAGCCCUAGAGAUCGAUCCAGCAGCAAAGUUGCCUGUUACACUGGCUCUGUCUAGCUUGUGGAUACGGAGGAACUAUGCAGACAGUUUCUUGGUGAGUUUCUUUCACUAGCUUGCAUCCUUGCCUUUUCUAAGUAUCAGUAUGAAAAUCAGGCAUUGGACUUCUAUUAGAUGCAUCAAAAUGCCUGUGCAUAUGCGAGUUAAAUUUAUUUUUUUUUCUUCUUUCACCAUUCAUUAUUAAUAUCUUACCUGCCCCCUUACAUGUUUUGACUCUCGCAAGACUGUGGAACAUGUUAUUAAUCCAAGCUUCCCAACAGCUUAUUUUCAGCUCGGGUGAAAAUAAGAAUUGAUAUUAUGCUGUUCUUCAAUUUUAUUUAAUGGGUUAAGAUCUCAUGAUUACAUAACAAAUUAGUGCCUUUUGGGGAUAUUGUAGGAAUUUUGAUUUCUUUUUUCUCCCUGUGAUUUCUCAUUGCAGAAAGCUAAUAGCACCAAGCUUAGAGCUCCNNNNNNNNNNNNNNNNNNNNNNNNNNNNNNNNNNNNNNNNNNNNNNNNNNNNNNNNNNNNNNNNNNNNNNNNNNNNNNNNNNNNNNNNNNNNNNNNNNNNNNNNNNNNNNNNNNNNNNNNNNNNNNNNNNNNNNNNNNNNNNNNNNNNNNNNNNNNNNNNNNNNNNNNNNNNNNNNNNNNNNNNNNNNNNNNNNNNNNNNNNNNNNNNNNNNNNNNNNNNNNNNNNNNNNNNNNNNNNNNNNNNNNNNNNNNNNNNNNNNNNNNNNNNNNNNNNNNNNNNNNNNNNNNNNNNNNNNNNNNNNNNNNNNNNNNNNNNNNNNNNNNNNNNNNNNNNNNNNNNNNNNNNNNNNNNNNNNNNNNNNNNNNNNNNNNNNNNNNNNNNNNNNNNNNNNNNNNNNNNNNNNNNNNNNNNNNNNNNNNNNNNNNNNNNNNNNNNNNNNNNNNNNNNNNNNNNNNNNNNNNNNNNNNNNNNNNNNNNNNNNNNNNNNNNNNNNNNNNNNNNNNUUCUUAACUGAUCCAGUAUGGUAUUGUUUUAUCUUUAGGUCGACUUAAUUGAUUCAUUGCCUGGAGUCUAUCCAAAAGUUGAAGAAUGGGUGGAGAACGUAUUAAUGGAGGAAGGAAAUGCGACAAUACUGACCCUUUUCGCCUGUCUCCUUACUGUCCUUUAUCUUCGUGAGAGACAGCGCAGGCAUGUUGCUGGUGUUGGUGGUGAUGUUGGUGUACCACCGCAACAGCAAUUUGAACAUGGUGCUGCUGUACCCCGUUAAUUGGCGAUGGUGAUGGUCUGCAGGAACAUCUAGAAUUUUUGCUGUUCUAUAUUUGUGAAAAAGUAAAAUUUACAACUGCAAUACGAUGUACAGGCUUUUGAGUCUCAGGGAGAAGCUGCUUUCUUUUCAGACACAUGUUACCAUAGAACUCUACUAAAGUGAGGCAGAAAUAAGCAGCAGUUUUGUACCUUUGCAUUGGCAGAAAAAUGUAUUCAACAUAGUUCUGUGGAAUUGACUUUUUUUGGGGGGGAAGCAUGACCUUUUGUUGUACUAAUUUGACCAUUAAUUCAUAUGAAGAUACUUGAUUUGAGGCAAGAACCCUGUUGCUUUGCUGAUAAUUCAGUUGAUUUUACUUUGCUUUAGUUUUAGGUUAAUUUAUCACCCUCCAAAAAUUGUAACUUUGACUAAUCACUUGUCCACUGUUUCUGGACACCAAAUAUUAUGCUCACUGUUGUCUUAAUGAUGCAGUCUCAUCUCAUUCCUAUGAUUGCUUAUGGUUCUAUGUUCUUGGUCUUCACAUUUAGCGUAAGGCUAGUUUUUCUGAUCUCCUUUGCUGCUGCCAGCCUCCCCUUUUUGCCUUUUUCUGCAUAGUUAUCAUUACUACUGCUGAUCUGGUCCGGGGCCCCUCAAGGCCUUUCAUUUUUGUUUUUUUGAGUGAAUUUACAUUGAGCAAUUGAUAUGGGAUGAAUGAGCUUUUCCAUUGUGCUUGCAUGCGUGCUGCUUUUUUUUUUCUUGCUAUGAUAAACCCUAACUAUUCAGUUGUUCAGACCAAGUUCAUUUCUACGAAAGGAAAUAAAUUUUUGUUUUGUACUGAAUCAAACGAGGUAGUUUUAAAUUGGAUUUAAAAUCAAUUUUAGAUCUAAUUGAUUUAUUUACAUUCCUAACUGCACAAUAUAUUAGAUUAUUACACAAGUGCCUACAGUUUAUUUACAUUAGAUAAUUACAUCAAAUCUAAAUCUAACUUCAUUAAUCUACAAGCUUGGUACCAAAAAUUCUAUAAUGCCUAGUUCCCCAAGUGUUAUUUUUAUCAAGGUAAUAGGAUUUUAUGCAACACUGCACCCAUGGUGGUUUUCUUGCAGCAUCCUCAAUUUCCUUGCCAUCAUCAUUCACAGCCACACCAAGCAACUUGUUUCGCUUUCUUGUCAAUGCAUCAAUGGAGGAACGCCCGCCAAAAAACUUAUCCUAUAAUGAACAAAUAUUACAGAAUCAGAAAUAAGUCACAGAUACAUAUAUAAAAGUUCAUGCAGAGAGUAAUUGUUAUCCUACACUGACUUCGACCUGGAUCUCACCUAAAGGAGCAAUCCUAAAUGUGGGAAGUUUUCUUGAAGCCAUUUCAAAUUGACUUUGAUCAGAAUUUGAUAGCAAUCUCUAAGUAGACAGACACACGUCCAUAUUUAAUUCUUUGCUUUAUAAUCCGACUCUUCGUUUCAUCAUACUGUACCCGUGUCGACAUGACAUGAAAGGGUCCAACAUGGAAUAUGCGUUGACAUACCUUCAUACUAUCACAUACUCAAGUGACAGAUCUCUAAAGAUGAGAAACAUAGUUAAUAGAGAACUACGUUCUCUCAAGAUAAAGAGCAUGGUUAAUAGAGCACCUUUUCCUCAAAUAGAAAUAGUUAUUUGGUUGUAGUUGAUUACAUAUCUAGACUAUAGUUAUUAUCACAAUUUUAUAUUUUCAUUCUAUUCUAUUCUAUUCUAUUUACAUAACAAAUUUGAACACCUAUGCCUAUAUUUAGACCCAUAUCCCCAUAUUUUUCAUUUAGAAAGUUUACAAGUUAGACACAGGGAUACAUACUCAUUCCCAACACUUAGUACCCGAGUCCGAGAAACAUAGAUUCUUAGUAGAUAAAAAUUUAGUAAAAACAUUCUCUCACCCCAUCUUCAUCAAAUAAAAAGGCAUGGAUUCUGGCAGUUGGAUCUUCUAUGGUCAAUCUAAUCAUGUAUGUUCCAAGAUGAGAGCAGAAGUCCUCGACACGCCAUGGCAAUGCAGCCACUACCCGUACUAUGCACUUGAAUUUAGCUGUCACCUGCAUGGUUUGACAGUUGAUGAACCGUAAGAUAUUGAGCUGCAUGCAGCUACUAUAUAUUAUCAUCAUGUGCCUUCUCUACAUGCACGUGGGUGUGUAUGUGUUCUGUGUCAGUUUCAAAUUAUUCAAAAAUAACAUUUACGACCGAAAAAGCAUAUUUUGUUGACCUAACACAAUGGACCAAAACACUUGGCAUGCACAAGACCUUUUCAAUAAUGACAAUCAAACAACCUGAGAAUGACCAAGUAUGAAGAUUAUUACCACUUGCUUAAACAUUCCAAGAAACUAACUAGGAGUAUCUCCAGAACAAUUAGUCAAACUUCUAGGUUGGAUAAAUUAUAUCAUAUGUCCUGAUCUUUAGUUGCAAUCAACUUGGAAUCUUAACAUUAAAUUUGCAAUAUAUACCUUUAGUUUCCUUAACAAUUAGAACCAAAAACUAUUGACCUUUAUUUUUAAGAAAAAAAAAAAGCUCGAUCUUUUUCAUUAAACAACAUAAGCUUGACAGAUUAAUUAUUCACACAAUAAACUUUCAUUUGACCUAUAAACUAUGAAAGUAUAAAACUAUUAUGUGAAAUAACUUUGAAAGAAGCCUUAGAUGAUCUAAAGAAAAAUAUUUUUAACUAUACUACCAAAACAUUUAGUUUUGUAAGAAAUGAGCUCAUUAGAGAUUUCUUUGAGGACCCUAUUGAAAGAGCUUAUUAAAGAUAUGAACAAAAAAAUCACAAAGAGACUUCCCAAUGAGGCAUUAAAAUGUAAUAGCAAAUGCAAAAUAGGUCCCAAAAAAAUAAAUUUUCAAAUUCCUCCUAUAACUAGUGAUAGAUUGUAAUUACCAAUUUUUUCAGUAACUGCUCACCCAUCAAUAAAGCAAAGGGUUGAAAGUUAGAAUUUCCAUCAUUAUUAUGAAACCAAGGUCAUAUUGAGGACAUUUAAAAGGUAAAAACAUAUAUGAAUAAUUAAAUUCCAUACUAUGGCCUGGACUUCAGGGUUCAAUAAGAAAUGUGUCCCAUAAUUCAAAACAUUGUAAGGUUCAGAAUGAACUUUAUCAACAAUGACAAUUGAAACCCUCGAUCAAGUAUUGCUUCUUAAAAAUCUCAUUUAUUCCUGCAUGAAGUUUAAAGAAAUAAUACCUCCAUGCAAGAAAAACUAAAUUUUCUGGUGCAAUCAAAUAUCAUACCUGUGAACAGGUGAGGACAUCCAUUAUCGUAACAAAAGGCACAUGGUCAUAAUCAACCUCUGAGAGAGGAAAUCAUGAAAAGUCAUCACCAUCACGAAGUCAUAACCACAGAGAUGAAAAUUUCCAGGAGUGAAUCACACAACUACAAAUAAGAAAAACCAAACAAGGAAUACAGUCAUUCUCAACAAGUCAACGAUGUGAAACCUGUAAGUUGUGAACACCAAGGAAAACACCAAUAUGGUAUGCGCCCCAAUUCUAAUGACAAGCGUUCAUUGUAAGACCUGGCUCGCAUAAAUAUCAUUACAGUCUUAAUAGAUAUACAUGUUUUGCCAAACUUCAAUUAUAAACAUGUAGUUUGAGCAUUAUUUUUUAAAUGGGAACAUGCAUGCGAGUGUGCAUGAGUUAAGUAAAUACACAGAUACAAGCUUGGAUAAUAUGCAGUCACCUCUGGCACCCUACAAUGAGACGGUUGUCAUCUGACAUGUAACGAAUCUUUGUGAAAGGUGUCAACACACCAUGCCAUAAUCCUUCAUGCACUUCACAAAGAAUGUUGAGAAAUCUCACCCAUUUGCCAGCAGUCAAUAAGUGGAGAACAUGCUUCUCGUUGCCUUUGUCGAUGAUUACCCUUAGUAUUGUUCCAACAGUUGGAAAUGUACAUAACAAAUCUCUUGGCAAAGGUUUGGGUUCAACUUGUAAGGGAAGUGGAUUGUCCGUUUCAUUUUCUAGCCUGUGAUUCAAAGCAGACGAUAUUAAUAGAUUUGGAAUGAGAAUAUUAAUAACUAGUUCAGAAAACACCAAAAUGAAAAAUAAAAAGCAGGUGUUGUGGCGAAUGUAAAAUAGUUUAAUAGUUGAGCAAAUAACAUAUAUGUAAAGUCAAUAGAACUUUUUAGAAUCCAUACCAAAGUUUUUAAGAAGUCACUGCCAUAGUGUUGUAGCAUCAAACUGUGCAGAGUGUAAUUCUCAAAACAAGAGUAUGUGGCACUUGCUACAACACAUAACCAGAAGAUUCAUCUACGUUUCAUGAAUAGAAAAUAAUGAAUUAAGCAACUUGGGAAAAGACUUCCAGUCAGUGAUACAAAAUGAAGUCCCCCCUUUUUCUUUGCCAAAGAAAAUCAAUCAUUAAGCACUGAUAUUCUUUGAGAUAAGAACAUCCACAGAAAUCGAGCUCCUGAGGUACUGACCGUUUGGUUUAGUUUCUAAUGAUUUUCAUCACAAAUAUCUAUCUGUUAAAAACCAGAAAGCACUAAGCCAAUAAAUUGGUCUAUUUCUUGGUAUAGACCAGCACAGUAUGCAGUUCAAUCAAACACUACAUUCCAAACCAAAAGUAUGAUUAAUACUUUAGCAACCCCUGAAACAGUUGAUGAUAAUUAAAUAAAUACUUGAAAAUCUACAGACUUCCAGUGCUUAGCAGAUUGAGUAACACCUUCAUUACCGAUUUGUAUUGUCAUUGGCCCUCAUCUAACAUGCAACAACAGAACCUCAAAAAGGCCUCAAAGAAAGACUAUUGCCACUCUUCCUGUGUCAGUAUAGAAGAUAACAAUUAACCAAUAAUAUAUUGUUCAUUUUCAGCAACUUACUUCGUCUCAAUGCCGAGUGGUGGAGAAUCAGUUCCAUCCCAAACAAAGGCCAUCCACUCAUGCUCACAAAUCUCACAUAUAUGAAGCACCUUCAAAUGGUGAAACAUUUAGAGUUGCAGACUUAUCAGUACUUUGGGGGUAACAAUAUAGCAGAGUACCAUUUUGCUGUUAACAUCUUCAAGGAUGAUGGCAAUAAUUGAAACUCUGAUGGUAACAGGGAUAUGAUGAUAUGGUUGACUCACCUUGCAAACCAAAUUAGCUCUUUCCCCUUCCUUUAUCUCUCUGAGGAACAAGAAGCUAUUUGGACCUGCCAAAGACAUGUAACAUCAGCUUUGUAACUGGAUACAGGUACACUAUCAAAUAUAGCAGGCACAAUAAAGCUAGCAGUACUGUAAUUGGCGCAGAUCAAAUAAUGAUCAAGAGCACAUCAGGUUAUGUAUCUAUACGGCAUUAAAAUAACAAAAAAAGAGAUAUUUCUUACCAGCUAAAGCAAUGUACAGAUGUAAUAUCUGAAUAUUCCUUUUCAAUUAUUUAUUGCAACAAGCAAAAAUGUAUCUGCUAUUACAAUGACAAAAAUUCAGUGUUCCACUUCAAAUCAAGCACAUUGAACUGCAGCAUCACCUUAUAAAAAAUUUUAUUUCUGCAAGAAGAAAUGCAGCUCAAGUUUCUCAACAAAAAAAAGCAGCUUAGUUCACACACACACACACGGGGUUAAUUGAACCUAUAGAAAUAAAUGUAUAAAUUUUGAAGGACAUCCUUAUGUAUCAUGUGUAUAAUACAUGAUAAACAACUAGUAUCCAAAACAUAUGUGCCUUUUACAGUUUGAAAGUCACCCUAGACCCUAGCUCACUUACUUUGCACUAAGAAAGUAAAUUGGUUUCCAUUUUAUAGUUGCAAUAGUAAUAAUAAACACAUAUACAUACACACACACUGACAGUGCAACUGAAAAGGUUAAUUUCACUUCAAUUAAGAAGACCAUGGAUUAGCUUUAUGAGAACUCCAUUUUUUUUAAUUGAUUUAAUCUAUUUGAAUAAAAGAGAAAUUUAUACAAAACGGGUACAUUACUAUGGUUGCUCACAACCAUAGACAGCCCAGCAAAAUUCAAUCAACAGUGAUUUAACUAGUCACAAACUAGUAAAAAGUAAGCUGUGUAAAUAUCUAGUGGUUCCUCCUUUUCACAAAUUCCUAAAAUACUAAAAAAGGAGCUCCAGAAAUGAAAAUUGUUCUGUUAGAGUUAUAGACACAAAUGAACAUUCAGUCGUCAUCUUACCUUCAUCAACCUGGAAGUCAGCUAACCAUUUUCUCAAGCCUAAUACAAACUUCGAGUCCCGGUCUCUAUGGUGAUAUCUUGUAGAACAUUGAUAAGGAACGAAGUCUCCACCAUUUUUUCCUUCAUAUAAAGCAAAAGAAGAGAAUGCUUUGUUGAAAACAGCAUUUACUUCCCCAUGAUGAGUCUUCAUCUGCACAAAAACCAUGUAUACCCCAGUUUUUCACUUAAAAAUCAUUAAGAAAAUUAUAAGAUGCAAUAAGCAUAGACAACGCUUUGUACCCAAAAUGCAAUUAAAAAACUGAAAACAAGAGUAAAUGUCAAACACAGAAUCUCUCAACUAUCUACUUCAGCAACACGUUGUUCUUUUUUUUUCUGAAAAAUUUAAAACAAAAUCCUACAAUGCCAAUAAGCACAAAACUGAUCAAGCAUGCAUUACGAACUAAUAAUUCCAAGGUAAUGAACACAAAUAAGCUUAUACCACGACACGAGAAAGCUGAAUUAUAUCUCCAAGCGAAGAAAUACGAGGAAGAUUUUCCAUACUUGAUGCGAAUAUAUUAACUGAUAUUCCCGGUUUGGGAUAUGACUCAUCGAUUAUUUUCAGCGUACAGAACCAAUCUGAAAAAUUAAAAACGAAAAAUUGAUUGAACAAAUAAUUUCAAAAAUUAGAAAAGAAAGCUGGCUCAGACAUCACACCUUUACCCAGAUGAUUCAUCAAUCUACUACCAAAACCCAGUUAAAAGAAGUUAAAAGAGGUAGCAGCCGUAAGACCGGCCUUUUUGUCAUCAUCGCCAGCAAAAAAUAACGAUUUGUUUAGCAGUUGCGUUUAUAUGGGCUGAAAGAAGGAAUGAAAAUAAGAGGACGCGGAGUGUUAGUACCAGUGCCUCUGGUUUUCUUGGGUAAACCGAAUUCGAUAAUGGCGCCGAUGAGAUUAACUUUCUGGUUAAUGGAAGCGAUUGCAUCUCUUAUUUGAAGAAACUUGUAAUCGUCCCUCUCCCCCAUCUCUCUACCCCUCUCUCUCCGCCUAAACCCUAAGUUAGGGUUUCACUCAAACCCAAUUGAUCCGUUUUUAUUAGACCGCGAAUGCAAAGGUUGUCUUAUCUAUACCCUCUUUGAAAUAAUUUUUUUAAAAAAAUAAACAAAAAAGUUCAGUUAAGCUUAAUUGAUUUUUAUUUAAUUACAAUUAAAUUAAUUUUAUUUAAUCUAUGAGGAAAAAAGGGCUUAAUUGAAUUUUUUUAAUUUAUAAUAUAAUUUAUAAAAUAUAAUAAAAUUUACGAUUUAAAAUCCCUAAAUUUUCAUUUUAUUAAUAAAAUAAUCGUUUUAAAAUUCACUAUUAAAUUAUAAUAAUUUAACCUUUUAUUUUUGAACUUUAUCAUAAUUUAUUCUUUUUAAUUUUAAGAAUGUAUAAUAAUUUUAUUCUUAUAAUUUUAAUAUUUGUAACACUUAUUUUUUUAAUUAAUUGCUUUAAUUUAUAAUUUACUAAUAAUAAAUUUAAUAAAAAUACUAUUUUUAUUAACAAAAUAAAAAUUCAAAAACUAAAUUAUUUAUUAUUAAAAAAAAUUAAAAACUAAACUAUGAAUUUUAUUAAAUCUCAAAUACUAUAUUAUAAAUUAUUCAAAUUUUAAUUAAAUUUUUACACAAUUAUAUACUAUUUUCAUUUUAAAAAUAAUUUAUAAUUAAAAAAAACUCUUAUUUCAGAUAUGAUAAUUGAUUUUUUUUAAAAAAAAUGCUUCGAUUGAAUUUUAUAAAAAUUUAAUUCCUAAAUAGGACUGAAUGAAAUUUAAGCAAGGAUAUAAUAUGGGCGAGUGAUAAUUGAGAAUCAAAAUUACAAAGUGGGAGUAAGACGAGGGAAAGAGAGGAGUUUGUUUCUUAACAGGGGCAUGGUACUAAUAAUUUCCAACAGGAACUGGAGAGCAUUUCAAAUAAGUUUACAUCCUUUUUUUUCCCACAACAUAUAAAACUACAAAUGUUUUUUAAAGAAAAGAAUAAGUAUAAACUACAAUUCCAAACAAGCUAUACAUCAUACUGUGACGGUCCUUGAUCAUCUCCAAAAUUGACAGAACACUGCUCAGUUUCCCAACUAACGAGGGCUCCUCCAAAUCCGCUCUUCAUACUUUGACUCUGUUGUUGCUUCUUUUGGACGUUCAUGAUUGCACUUUCUGCAGGAGACAUUCCUACUGUAAUUCAAGAAAUCACACCUACAUAACAAAUACAAAAACCGUUUGUUAAGAAUCUUUUCACUGUAUCUUUUGAAGUUAACCACAACAGAGAAAUGGAUAGAAAGGGACUCACGCUGGGCAUUCCCAAUCUCCAGGAAUCAGCUGUCUCUUAGGCCGUUGUUCUCGACAGCGCAAACACAUCUUAUUGUUUGCAAAGUUCAUGAAUCCGCAUCUGCACAUGAAAGUCAAGGAGAUAAUUUCACAAAUUACCAAUAUGAUGAGAAAAAUAUUCAUGUCAUAUUGCAGCCAGUCAGCUAUAACUUACAAUAAUAAUAAUAAUAAUAGCACGAGAAAUAUCUUUGCUUAAACUAGCUGUUACUGUCAACCAGGCAUAGCCUGAAAGAUGCCGGCUGUUAUGCCACUUAAAUUUCAAGACGCCAUUCUUAGAACAAAUUUCCAAGCCAAUUUAUCAAUAUAAAUUUCCUAUAAGUUAUUAAUGAAGCCUCACAAUCAGGAUUGCCAAAACACACAGGAACCCACAUCAUAAGUGCCUAAAAGACAGGUUGUUGGACAAAAUAUACCAAACUUUACAUUCUACGAUAGUCACAAGACAAUUUUCAAUUACAGUAUUGUGCUUAGCAGGACCAGGUAACUUACUCUGGGCAAUUCCAAUCUCCUGGCUUCAUUUGUGCUUCAUUUACAGCAACUCUCUUUGGACCCUCUGUUUUGCACUUUAGGCAUCUUAUAUUUCUAGAGAAAUUCAUGAAAUCACACCUGCAUGCAGAUCACGGGCUCUGGUCAGUAGAUUGUAAGAAAAAUGUAUAAAGCUAGAGAUGCAAGUGUCUAAUAAUACUACAGGUAUGAGAAUCUAGUUCAUCAUCUCACAAAAAUCAUACCACCAUAUAUAUGGAUCAUAUUGUUAUAGUAUUCGUAUUCUAAAACAGAAAGCAAAGCACUGUAAGGGAUAGCCAUACAAGAAGACUAGGAACUUACUUGGGGCAUAUCCAAUCUCCUUGCUUCAUUUCAGCGUCAACAUCAACUUUUUUGGGACCUUCUCCGUUACAUUUUAGGCAUCGUAUAUUUUUAGAGAAGUUCAUAAAGUUGCAUCUUCAGAAAAAGUUCCAAGGAUGUCAAUCAUAAAAAUAAUAACAUAUAAAAGUGAAGUGAAUAUUAGAGAAAGUGGCUAGAGAGAUCAUUCUUUUAAGUUGCAAACAUGGGAUGGAAAGAUGUCAAAUCCCAGAUCAGUUAGACAAUUUGACCACUGGGCUAACAAAAUAGAAACCUCUUCCCCAUUUAAAAGACAAAUGGUGCAAGCUAAGUGAUGCAGUCAAGGAAAACUUCAUUUAGAAAUUAUUUUCAUGUAAUUCUUAUUUGUAAAAUUUAGAUCUUUCAUACAGACUCUAUAAUAGAAUGAGGAAGUUUAUGUUUCUACUGUUAGACAAUUUAAUUGCAAGUAAUAUUUUAAUUUUUCAGGGAUUUUAUGGUUAAAAUUUUUUGCUUAGUGUUAGUUUCAUUUUUCUAGUUAGAUUAGAUUAGUAUUUUCUUACUUUGGGAUUCUUAAUCCUAGUAGUAGUAGGACUAAUAUCAUACUAUAAAUACUUAUGUCAUCUAUGUAUUCUAUAAAGAUCUUACUAUUAUUGAUAUUGACAAUUGAGAAUUAAUUUGAAAAAAAAAAAAAAGGAACUGAGAUUUGUCUCCCUUCCCUCUUGAGUGUUCUUUGUUUCCAACAUCACUAAGGCCAAAUGCAGAAAAUAUCUAAAGGAUAAUCAAGGAACAUCCAACAGCCCAAUCAUAGAUAUCCAGCCCUCAAUAAUGACAUCAUGUGGGAAGUGAGAACAAUAAUGACAAAACAUCCAAGUCAGGACUUCAGGCACCAAGCCCUUGUCUUGGAGCUUUAUGAUACCAAAUCUUGCAUCAGUUGUGGCCUCAACUUACAAGCUGAAACAUCCCAUCUGCCCUUUUAAAAGAACAUAUUUACAGUCCAAGGUGCAAAGAUACUGCAAAGUACUAGCAGAGAUGGCAAUUUUACUAGUCUAGUACCAACUUCUUUCUUUUUUAGGAAUGGCUUUUUUUGGGGGUUGGGUGGGGGGGGAGGAGCGGGGCAGAGUAUUCCCAUUUUAAUUUUUACAAUUUAUAAAUUAUUAAAAUAUCGUUAUCAUAUAUUGUUGUAAUAUGCAUCAUAAAUAGAUUUUAAACAGUCUUGUUAACAGUUAAUAGCAAAUGGUAUUAGCCUAGGCCAUGGCAGGUUAUAGUUCCGGUUGGCUUGAUACUAUUUCAUUUCAAAAUAGUUACGAUUUGAAAUGGCUUCGUUUCAGUUCCAAUUUCGGUUUGGCGCAAUAUCAAAGUUUUUAAAGCUACAAGAAAUUAAUAUUCUAUAAAUUAUAAUACAUAAAAAAAUAUAAAAUAUAGGUUUAUAUUACAUUAUGUAUUUAGUUUAUAUAGUAAAAAGAAUUAAAGGAACCAAUACAACUUGAAAAAAAAAACAAGGGGAAAAAAAUUGAAAUGGACUAGUUCCAAUUUGGAACCAGCUGGUUCAGUCCUGGUUCAAGAAGGGGAGGCUAGUAAGGUACCCCAAUAACAGUCCCAACCUAGUUCACGGUUUGAAUUCGAUUGUGACCAAUUUAAAUGGUAUAUUCAAAGUAAAUGUUUCCAUAUUUACUUAUUUAUACAUACAUGCAUGUGUAUGCAUAGAAACACUUAUUUUAAAUAAACCAUUUAGACCUGGUCUCAAUCCAGUUACACACACACACACAUGCAAAAAAAAAAAUGGAUAAAUUAGGAUUAGUCAUGCUAGAUUGACCUAAAUCCAACCUCUCCAUGAAAUUGUCAAGUGUCAGGAUGUGAUACGUGUUCUUGUAGAUGCAAUAUAAAAUUUCCACAUGUACAAUUUUAGUCAUAUGAUAAGACUUACCCUUACAGCUGCCAUCCAAGACUUUGCCUUGUCCUACCUUUAGUGACUAUUAGUCCAUGCUCUACUAUAGAGCUGGACUGGCACAGCCCAUAACUAAAAUUGAUCAAGGGCAUUUCAAUCAAAAUUGAUUUUGAACUGCCGGAUCCAGUUGGUUCAGUUAUGUUCCAGGUUCAAAAACAAUUUUUCUUUGAAAUUUUUAAAGAAUAAUAACUAUAGGAUUUGAUCAAAACUGGAAGUGAUAGGAUCAUACAAUCCAGUUUCAGCCCCUCAAAUCUUGAAACAAUUGACCUUUUAUAUCAAACUAAGGCUCAAUCACAAGAAGUAAGCCUGUUUGACAUUAAGAUUCAAUAUCUAUAAACAGCUUUUCAGGAAAAAAAACAACACUAUAAUAUAUUGAAAAAAAAUAUAUUUUUUAUUUUAGUAUUCUAAUAAUCAAACAUGUUAAAUUUAAUUUUAAAUGUCAAUUUAAGAAAAUAUUUCUUAACAACAGCUCUAACAAUAAUGUAAAAAAUAGAUCCAUAGUUUUAAUGGUUAAUUCUUAAUACACAUGUCAUCAGCUCAUAAACAGAACAUUUAAAUAAAGGCAAUCAGUACAGAAUGCUCAACAAUAACUAAAUGAGCCUGCCAAGGAGCUCAAAAGAAUUAAAAAGAAAUAAAAAUAAAAAGUUGAUGAAGAAAAACAAAGACCUGAAUUUUUGACUUGUUGGCAAUCCAACCAUGGUUUUAAAUCAUGGUCGCGGCCACGUUCACGGUCGCAGGUAACGAAAACAAACCUGUAACGGCCGUAACGUAACGAUAACGGCCUGGCGAAAAAAUUUGCAAAGUUCAUAAAUAAAAUGAUAUUAAUUAAAUUUAAUUUAGAACAAUGUAUACAAAUGCAUAAUAAACAUAAAUAUAUAAAAUAUAGAUUAUUUAACUUAAGUUAAACAUCAUAUAGUUUAAAAUAAGAAAAAUCAACAUAAUCUUUAUAGAUCGAGUCAACUAAUAACUCAAAGUACAAUUUUAACUCAAAACUAACACUUUGAUCCAUAAAAACUUACAAAAAAAAGGAAAAAAAACAACAAUUAAAAACUAAAAUAGAUAAAAUUUAACUAACUUUUUAGAAGAAAUAAGUUUGAAAAUAAAGUAGUUUAUAAUGGAUCUAAGUUUAUACGAGAAAUAUGCAGGGAAGAAAAAGGGAAGAGAAAACUUAAAAAAUAUAGUCUUUGAAGCUGCUGAAAAGUGUAGAAACUAAUGAAAAUAAGAAUAGGGAGCAAAAGAUAAAGGAUAUAAAAGAAUUUUAAUUAUUGGUAAAAGCCAUUACCGUUAUGUAACGAUCGAUAACGGCCGUUACCGUUAUGUAACGGUCGGUAUACGGCCAUUACGCCUGCCAAUCAGGAGGGGCCGUUGUAUAACGGGAUAACGGGUAACGGCCCCCCAAAACCCGUUACAUAACGGCCGUUAUGUUACGUAACGACCGUUAUUUAAAACCAUGAAUCCAACACUACAGCCUUUGUUUUUCCUCAACAACUAAAGCAUAAUGUCCGAGCAAUGUCUUCAUUCGUAAGACAUUGGAAAUAUUUGAUCAACUAUUCAUCGUUGGAGGAAUCCACUUAUUAUUGAUAAACUUGUAAGCAAUUAAAUGAACCCAACAUACUAGAAAUUGCAAGUAAUGAAUGCAAUGCUUUGCUAUCAGAUAUAUAAGCAGAACAAAUGAGUAAUACAGAAUUGUAAUUAAAAGAAAGUUGCAGUUCAUUUGCAAUUCUUCAUUAUUGGGCUUACAUGGAAUGAAACUGGAAAUAAAGAAGUAUGUUGCAAAUAAAGAAAGUUCUCUUAAGUUCCAAAAUGCACAAAGCUUCAGAGAUGUACUGACAGUGAUGAUGAGAAACCCAAUCAAACUUAGAAUGAAUUAGGAGAAACACAAUCUAACGCACCCAUCAAGAUUCCAUACAUGCAUGUGGGAUGACUACCUUAAACUAGGUAGCUAGAGAGAUGGUACAACUAACCUUUGUGCUAAGUGAUAAAAUAACACAAACAUAGGAUGAGCUCAUGUGCUAAAAACUAAUAACACAAAAUGUCUAUAAUAAAGCUUGAUGAGCAGAGUAUGAGAGCACAUGAAAGUUGGAUAAAUCAUAGGUAAGGUAAGCAGAAAACUCUGACUGUGAACUGUGAACAAAGAAAGAGUUAAAUGAGUUCCACAUCUCAAUGGUUUCCCUUUAACAAAGCUCUUAAUGGACGUCCUCAGUGCAUAAGGAGCCAGAGUUCUGAGGAUCAAGGGAGAAUCAUCUACCAUAUGCAGACUUCCCCAGGUUUCUUUGCAAAGAGGCUGUUUCUGCAGCUCAAACGAGUGACAGCCUAGUUAAGGAACAUUCUCACUAUUCCGCCGAUGCUCAUCCUCGCACAAAAGCUCUUAAAUGAACUUAUCUUAAUUUUAUCUAUUAAUAUUUUCUUGAUAUUACAGUAAUACUCAUCUUCUUGAAAAUUUAGCAUUUUUCUGUUUCUACACGGGACAUUCCAAUAUGAGUCUUUUAGUCUUUUGUAUGCAAUGGAAAAUACUUAUUCAUCCAAAGAAAUGCAGAAACGAAACAUGAACCAGUUACGGAGUAUAUUCCAUUGUCUUCUAAUAAUACUUACUUGGCACAGCUCCAAUCUCCCCUCUUCAUUUCAACAUCGCGAGACAGUUUUUCAUCUAAUAUUGCAUCAGAUAAAGGAGGCUCCUUGUUAUCCCUAAAUCUCCUCUCUUGUUUCUUCUGAUGGGCAGCUUUUGGAGCAGGCAUCAGUACUGGUGGAUCAGGGGUUUUUUCACUUAAUUCAAUCAACUCAGAGAGCAGCUUUCUUACAGCUGCUUCAACAACUUCUCUACCAGGAGGCUUUUCCUCCCCUGAAAUAACGAGUGGAUCUAGUGCAUAGAACAUUAGAAUUCGCAUUAUAUCCGCAGUUCGAGCAUUUCCUUCAUCAUCCUUCAGUAUCACAUAAGCCCUGUCACAAGAUCCACGCAGAUCGCAGGCCCCACAAACCUGAACACCAGUGUGUAGUCAAACCACAAUCCUCGAGGAUAAAAGUCAUUUCUCAAACUCAAAGGAGAACCGACCAAAAAGAGAAACAUGCAACCCCCUUGGUUAAUGGGUAAAUUACACAAAAGACUUCAAGGUUUACCUAUAAUAACAAGCAAAGACAAAUAGACAACAUUUCCAAUUCCAGCACCACAAUUUAUAGAAAAUUAUUAAAUUGACCAAAUUGCUGUCAACUCUUGUGGAGAUUCAAAGGAUUAUUAAUAAAUUACUAUUUAGUCCCUAAAGUUUAACAAAAUUAAUCAAUUAUUCCUUAUUGUAAAACCGAAUUAAUUGAUCCUUAAUAUUUCAUUUCAUUAACACUUUUUUCCUUCUUUCUGUUCAAGUUUCUGAUAGUCAAUGACUAGAAAAAGCAAUCAAAAGGCCAAAAAUAUAUCAAAUUCUAGAAAUAUUAUACAUUAACAAAAAUUCUUUAAAAAAACAUUUUUUAAAUAAUUCAUUUUCCACACUCAUUUAUUUCCAAGAAAAGAAAUGUUUUAUCAAGGAAAAUAAAUUUUCCAAUUAGAAAAUUCAGAAAAAAAUAUAUAAUUCAAAGAAAAAAUUUUUCAAAAAAAUAAUAUUUUGAGAAUUAAAAUUUUUCUAGGAAGUUUCUAAAAGGAACCUUUAUCAUUUAAAAAGUUUUUCACAAUGGAGCAUGCUUACUUGGAAGGCAGUGUAAAUUUGUCAAAUAAAAUAUAUCUUACAACAGAAAUCUUCCUUUUCAUUUUUCAGAAAAAAAAAUAUGUUUCGUUAACUUGACAAUUCUUUUAGACCCUUGACUGCAGUAAGUAAUGGAAAAAUGUAAAUAAACUCAACAGAGGGACUAAACUGUAAAAUGAUAAGGGCCAACACAUUUGAUUUUAGAAAUGCAGGAACCAAGUCAUUAAUUUAGUCAAACCACAUGAACUAAAUUAUAACUUACCCAAUGAUCAAACAGCUUGAACCUAUUUACAGUUGUCCAAGUAUUUGAUAGUAUAUUAAAAAAUUAACAGAAAACAUUUCCCUCUCUAUUACAGUUUCUAAGCAAUCAUUAAGAUCAAUCAUAAAUAUGGAAUUGGAUAUUAUGAGUUUUAAUUACUGGUAGCUCAAGAACUAAAAUGGAACUAGCAUUACUUGUCCGGGUGCCAAAACUGCCUUUUCUCCUAAUGCAGUAGUCAAGUUAACCUCACAUGUGANNNNNNNNNNNNNNNNNNNNNNNNNNNNNNNNNNNNNNNNNNNNNNNNNNNNNNNNNNNNNNNNNNNNNNNNNNNNNNNNNAACCUCUCCUUCAUCCAAUGCCAUGUAGGCCCUCAACCUUUUCGCAGAAUUCACUACUUUUCUAAAAAGAUUGGGACAUCCACCCUCCAGAACUGUUUGAAUCUCCCCCACAGACAAUGACCUGCAUGGAAAAUAGUUACGCAAUGCUACAUCGAAACCCAAUAAAAUCAAAUUAACAACAGCAAAAAUGACCAGAAAUGGAAUCUGGGGAUACUUUAAUAAAUCAUAUCUAUCCCGAGCAAAGCUAAGACAAGGGUCUUUCAAUUGAUUCAUGUCCUUGUAAAUACUCUCAGUAGCAUCAUCAUUUGUGACAUUGGGAGUGAAGUAACCCUUGGACUUUAGUCGGUCUACGAAGGAGACCCACUCAGGCCAGGGGUGGUGUUGUUGAAGGGAAUUUAAGGUUUCAGUGGUAUCAGAGCGGAGGGCAGCGGAGGAACAGAGCCGAUGGAAUUGGAGGGAUUUGGAUGGAAGAAGUGAAGGGAUUGGAAAGAGAACUGUGUGGGCGUUAGAGCGGAAGAGUAAACUGCGAGAGAAUAACAAUUUGGAAGCUGCCAUUUUGAUUCUUUAGUAGGAGGAAACAGUGAAGCUGCGCAAGGACGAGAGAGGUCUGCUGAGGAGCUCGAAGGCGGCAAAAGGAUUUCUGCAGGGUUUUAGCUAUUACACUGUUUGGAUAUUUCACGGUGGGCGGAAGGAAAAUAAGGAAAGGAAAAGUUUUUUUUUUUUUUUCUUCCUUUAUUUUCUCCUGUUCUCUCCUGGGUAAUUUUAAACCGAAUUUUAGUCGCUAAUUUAUUAUAAUCAUUAAAUUUUAAUUUAUUUUUUAAAAAAAUCAUUAAUAAUAUUUAAACACUCUUCUUAUACGGUCCAUUCAGCUAAAAUUCCAAUGAUUUUCAGAGGAGAGAAAACAUGACUAUAAAUAAUUUUAAAAAAAUUUAUCUUGUUAAUUAGCAUUGGUUUUCAAAAAAAAAAAACAAAAAUAUAAAAUAAAUUAUAAUUUAAUUCUUCUAAUUUAAUAAAAUAUCUACGUUAUUUUUUUAUAUUUUUAAAAUUUUAUAAUAUAAUUUUAAUAUUUAAAAAAAUUAUAAUUUAAUCUCUAAAAUUAAAUUUUUAAUUAAUUAAUAAUUUUAUAUUUUUUUAUUUUUAUUCAUUUGGGUUAAUAAACUGAAAUUAAUGAGAAAACCGAAUAUAUAUAUAUAUAUAAGCAACUUAAAAACCCUAACUCACUCUCUAAUAUUUUGUGCAGGCUCACCCCAUCCCUAUCCCUACCCACUCUCUCUCUUGUGAUCGACUCUCCCUUGUGAACGAUAGAAAGCUCACUCACACCAUCCAUCAGAUGCCUUCUUCUUCUUCCCUUAAAUGACAGACUUGGUGAACGACGUCACUGUGUCUUCCUGCAAAGAGACCUUCAGGUGAAUGUUGUGCUUCUUCUUUCCCUAAACGUGACCCUCAGGUAUCAACCAAUCAAAGAGAACGACAAACGAAUGAAAACUGAUGAAUGAAAUUGAACUAUCGUUGGAUAUUAGGCAUUUUGUUCUACAGUGAGAAAUGAUGUUUCUUUGUUUUAUGAUGUUUCUGUGUUUUCUGAAAUCUGGAGUAUGACAGAAUCUAUGUACGGAACCGCCAUAAUCGAUGUCAUUUGGUUUCAUCUAUUUUCAGUUCGGUUGCGGUGUUCAAGAUUUCUCUUUUUAAUUUUUCCAUUUUCCUAAUUCGAUUCGGGACCAAAGAAAAAAUCAUAUCAAAAAAUCAUUUAGUUCAGAACUAUCGAAUCAAAAUUUUGAUUGCUGUGGAUAUUUAAAAUCAAAG